rnacentral:lncRNA from 10 species
GUGGAUCCUCAGGCACAAAACAUAAAUCAUCUCCCUCUCACUUCUUACUGAUCGCGUUUGCUUGCUGUGUCAGCUGAAUUCCCAAAUUGGCCUGGGUUUAAAUUGGGACUUUUUUUUCCCUUCCUGGCCUGGCUUUUCCUCCACUCUCUCUCUCCAACCUCCUCCCACCCCAUGGGAAGUGAUGACAGAGGAAUCUGCCUGCGGACUCCAAAAUGCAGGUUAAAAGAGCAUGACCCAGGGGCAUUUACGACUCACCUGGAACCACACAGGUUGUUAAGAGUGAGGGCUAGAAUUUGGGUGACCUGUCUCCCAGGAGCCACGCAACCUCUCUGUGAAUGAAGGUGGAAUUCCAUGAUUUGAUAAUUACAUGGGACUGUAUCUCUCCCCUGGACUUUGGCCAUCUUUCCCACCGUUCAGAGAAAAUACGACUUGUUUCUAGACCUGAUAUUCAUCCAGCAUGCACCAGGAUGGAUGGAAGAUAAAAUACUGAAAUGUUUCCACACUGGUUGGUAAAUUACCGUCACCUGCGGAUACCUCCCCUGUAGUCCCAACAGGCUGGCUCGUCCUCCGGGAGAUCCCCCAGUGACCUCCCUAAGAUGUGUCACCUAAAGGGUUAAUGCCUGGCCCGGCAGGGGGCCCCCAGACUCUUCACCCAGCAUUAAGUCUUUGUGCCCUUGAAGUUUAAAUAUUUUGAAUCUCACCUCUCCCUGCUCCCUCUUUGGAAUUGAGUCCCUUGGGUUGAGAGAAGCUGAC